GGAGGGGCAGUCGGCGGGGGGAGGGGCAGCCGGUCGGGAGGCAUCCAGGGGGAACGGGGCCCUCCUCGCUGCCUGCCUCUUGGACAGAGCCCAGGCGGCCGGUUUCAGCUCUGAGUCCCACAGCCACCACCCUCUCUAGGCCACGGACAUGGUCCUCUUGAAGGUUUCCUGCAGCACCCACACCCCUGGACCUUAUGGCUGCUGUGCCUCCCCAGAGAGACGCUGGAGGGGGAGGCAGCCCCAGGGAGUCCUAGGGACAGAAAACGAGAGCGACCUUUCAGGCGCACCACAGAUCACGCCACUCUCCUUGUGAGAUCUGCGCUGCUGUUUGUCGCUACUUCUAGAACAAAAUCCAGAGCUGCAGCUGCCCCCAAGGUGCUGAGACCCACCCGCGCCCCCAGGCCCACUACCCAUGCCCUUGGCUCAUGGAUGCACUGAGGCAGCCUCUGGGGCUCGGGGCUCAGGCCUCAGCUGGAGCUCUGGCCUGGGGCCUUUGCACGGCGGCUGCUGCCAUCUGCUCCUCCCUGGCGCUGUGGGGCCAGCUCCUUUCUUCGAGUUCUCUCACUGGACGCAUUGCCACCUCACACGGGACCCCUGACCCUGAGCUGGCCGGGUGGGGCCAAGUGACCCCAGCACCCAGGAAGUGGGCCCCCGCCCAGAAGCUGCUGUUUGUUUCUUACUAGCACCUAAUAAGUUGGAAUGUACUUCGCAAAGCCGUGGCUUUCGUUGACUGUCGACUUGUUCAACACCGCAUCCCAGGUCUGUCUGUGCUCAAAGAAGAGUGAGUGCCUGACCAGAGGCGACCGGGGCAUCCAGGCCUGAGCCACACAGCCCUCUGUGUCACACACACGGCUGGACUUCUCUCUGGCGCGUCCUGAGGCUGGCGGGCGUCGCCUUUGCAGGUGUAUGAAUACAAUCUUCCCACCGUUACUCAGCAGGCACAGGCUCCUGGGGCUCUGCCCCUUCACUGGAUGCAGGAGAAAGAAUUCUGGGUAGGCAGGAGGGUGCCGGGCUCUGCCAGGGCCAUGUUGGCCACGGGCAGGGCAGCCCAGGCCUCUCUGGGCCUGUUUUCUGUCUCGUUUCUUCUCUCCCAAGUGUAGCAGGAUUGCAGAGUGGGGUCCUUUCCAGGUCUAAAAUCAUGUAGCCUCUUGUUUUCCUGCUGUGCAUGUGUGGGGAGGGAGAUUCAGAUGACUGUGCACAGCAGAGGUCUGCAAACGAGAAGACAGGGUGCCUUCGUCUAGGACCCAUUUGGGCUGCCACAGGCAAAAUGACACAUUUCCUGGUAAAGGUGACUGGCACGGCUAGGAUCCUGUGCCCUCAGGAACCCAGCGAGCUGGAGCUGGUGUUCAGUAGCUGAUGGCGUGGGGCUUCCCUGGCUGGGCCCAUGCAGGUUUGCUUAGGCCGGUACACUCGCGUGGGGUCCACACUGCCUGAGGCAGGCACCCCCGCGCCCCAUCCUUGUAGGUUUGUAAUAUGAGCGCCUCCUCCAAGCAGCCCGGAAGCCGGCCAGGCCCUGAAUGGGUUCUGGAGAGUCUUGCAGCCCCAUCCAGCACAUGACCCAGGACAGGGCCACCCAGCUGUCCUCCCCAGCCCCAUCCAGCACCCAACCCCACCCUGCAUCAGCUGCUCUCCUUGGAACCAAGCUUGCGGGGUGGGGCAAAGGUGACCCCAGCACGCAGCACGGUGCCAGGCAUGGAACUGACACGUGAUGCCCGUCUGUUUAACGAGUGAACAAAGGCACCAGAGGCUUUCUUCCCUUGAACACCAAUCUUCCAACCUAGAUUAGCAGCCGAGCGAGAGGUGGCGUCUGAACAGCCUAGAUUAGAGGCCGAGCGAGAGGCGGCGUCUGAACAGCACCCUGGGAUCAGGCAGCGCACGCUUCCCACAUGUGUCUUGCUCGUUCACUAAACAAAUAUUUGUGCUUGGCACCAGUUGAUAUGUUGGCAUUGUGUUUCAUCUGAUUGUGUGUUAUUUAAAAAACUCCUAUUACUAAAUCCAUUAAGCAACCAAACUGCUAGAGUCACUAGAUUAAAAUGCAUGACACACAACUACAGGAAAAUGUCAGGAAAUGCAAAUCUAGGCAGGCGUCCUCAGACAUAUCAGCUAUGAGGAAACUCUCUCUAGGAGAUCUGUGUUUUCCUCCCAAAAGAAGAUCAUCUUUCCAGAAAAAGAGGAUUUUACAGUCAAUUUGCUAACAUAAUAUAAAUUUGUCUCCUUCCGGGGACUUAUAUAUGUUAGUACAUAAUUGGUGUCUUUAUUGAUGGCUGUAAGAACCAAUACCUCCAAAAUAAACAGAAUUUGUACAAUAGUAAAGCCAUUUAAAAAGGCAUGCUCCACUUUAUAGAAUAUAACUUAUUAAUCACAUUUUGAAAGAAUAGAAAUGCAUUCACUCUUAAGAUUGCAAGCUGAGCAUAUGCUGAAGUCUUUCCCCAUAUGCACAUCAAACUGUGAAAUGAUAGGAAAAAAUAGUAAACAUAUGGAGAGGCAUCUGGAAAAACAAAGAACAGGAAUUCUCUGAGAAUCAGCAGCUCUCAGGAAACCCGGACAGGUUCCAUUAAAGAUGCAGCUGCCGUUCCAAUAUUCGCCCACUCCUGGACUGGCUCAUGGGAGCACACAGCCACUCCAGGAGUUCCACGCCAGGGAGGAAGGCAGGCAGGUGCAUCCUGGAGAGCACACGGGAGUUCCCCAGGUCCCAGUAGAAGGGGCUGGCUUUCCAACUGCUACCGAUCCCCUUACCCAGGCUGGGAAGCUGGCAGAGGGGUCAGGACCAGGCAGAGCAGCAAUUGGGCCAGGGAGAGGAGGCCGCGCCAGAGAUGUGCUGGGGAGGCCUGAGCCAGCCCAGAGAGCAAGGUUCAGAGGUCAGAGGCCACUCAUCUCCCACUCUCCCUGGGAUAACCCAGAACUCAAGCCCCAAAAGGUGACUUUUCUGGCAGGCUGUGUACGGGGGAAUAACUACCUCAAAGACGACCCCACAGUCAAAUAUAGUCAGACGUCUGAAGCAUCAACGCCAUGAAGACAAGAUUACCAAAGAAUUUGCACUUGAGAAAACUGAGCUAAUAGCACCACCGAAACAGAACAUUUAAAGUGUAAGCAAUAGCCUCAGAGAGCCAAAAGGAACAUGCAGUAUCUGCGACUCAGGAAUGGAAAGUUAUGAGUAAGAACCAAUUAGAAAUACAGGAAAUUAAGGAUACAUUUGUUGAAACUUAAAAAUUCAAAUUAUGCUUUGAAUUUUAGAAUGAAUAUAACAGCACUGUGAGUAAAUGAGCUUUAAAAACAAGCAGAGAGAUUUUUCCAGAAUGUCAGAAAUCUAGAUGGUGUUAAAGUUGAAAGACAUGAAAGAUUAACUGAACACACAUGUUCGCUCUGGCUCUUGGAGGAAAGCGUGGAGAAGUUAGAACGCCAGCCCAUGGAGGGAUGGUGCAGCUGUAGGCACUUCCUCUGCACUUUGACAGGAAUACAUUUGCGAGGUGUUUACCGAUGGUCUUCGUCCCCACCCCACUCACCUAAUUCUCUAACGUAAGAGGCCUCCGAAGUGAUCACGCGUAUGUCCCAGUACCAAUGUUGCAGGCUCUGGAGAGGAGUGUGCCCCGCUGGGAGGGACAUUGACGCCCACUAAACAUGGACACCUGGGCCACUGCGCUGGCACCGGGAGAGGCAGCGUGUUUAUGGUUGAUUGACAGGAAGUUUGGUUGGAGCACAGUUUUGCUAUCCUCUUCAAACACACACAAAGAGGUGCGUGGGGCACAGGUCAGCACUGGGUGGACGUGGUGGCUUGUUUUGGGUCAACUGGGUCAGCUGGGAGGGUGGUGAAAGAGUAAUUUUGCAUGGAAUCUGCAGGCAGACGUGGGGCGGCAGUCGAGACCCUCCAGCAGGGCAGGGCAGAGCACCCCACAGGUUCCCGUGGGCCUCACUGUCCCUCGCAGCCUCCAGCUCCUCUUCCCAGCGGUGCCCUAGGCUCACCAACAGAGCUUUGGCUGAAAACUGCGGAGGCCACAGCCACACAGAGCACAGCCUCCCUCAGGCUUCCCUUGAGCUCCUGCUUCACCUGAGAGCUGGGGACACCUUGGAUUCUCAUCCUGGCUGGAAGCACCGUGUCUGUCCCCAGCUUUCCUCCCAGACCUCCACGCCCAGCUCCACAACUCCUGUAGCAAAGACCUCACCCAGUAACACGGAUUGAUUAGGGACUGCUCUCCACACUCCCAUGGACCCCUGAGUAAGACACCAACAAGUACUUGUUGAUGGUCUAGCUUGAAAGGCACUGUGCGAAGAGCUGGGAACUCAGAAAAGGGCCAGAUGACGCUUCUGUCUUUAAGGAGUUUGUCCUUUAUUAUGCUCAUGGUCCAAAGGCUCUGCUAGGAUGGGUACGAAGAACUCCUUUUCCUGUUCCACGAUUGUCCAUGCUGUCAGGGCUGCUGCUGUCAUAUUCUGUAAAAGCUGCUCAUGCACCCAUUGCUGGCAAGGACUUAGAGAAGCUGGAGCUCUCAUCACUCAUGGGACUGUGGGUCACUGCCAUUGCUUUGGAGCUCCUUUCUAGUCUCCACUACAACUGAACCUUUAGUAAAUGGACACCCUGCGGUCCAGCAGCUCCACACCUAGAAACCAUGCUCACAGGAAUUUUCCUGGGAGUGCUGCCCUCCUCACAGCCAAAACCUGCUGGAAGCCACAUGGAUGCCCAUCAAUAGUAGAGGGAUGCCUUCUGUAUCCUCCACAGUGAGAAUCCACACCUACACCCACAGGCAGGAACACGCACAAAUCACACACAGGAAACAGCAAGAAUCCACACCUGCUAGCGGGAACACAUGGAAAUCAUACCCAGGAAACAGAAUCCACACCUGCAGGCAGGAACACGCACAAAUCUCACCCAGGAAACAGUGAGAAUCCACACCUGCAGGCGGGAACACGCACAAAUCACACACAGGAAACAGCGAGAAUCCACACGUACACCUGCAGGCAGGAACACGUGGAAAUCACACACAGGAAACAGUGAGCAUCCACACCUGCAGGUGGGAACAUGCGGAAAUCACACACAGGAAACAGUGAGAAUCCACACCUGUUGGCGGGAACACGCAGAAAUCACACCCAGGAAACAGGAAGAAUCCACACCUGCAGGCAGGAACACGUGGAAAUCACACAACAGGAAGCAGCAAGAAUCCAUGCCUAUACUUGCAGGCAGGAACACACACAAAUCACACACAGGAAACAGUGAGAAUCCACACCUGCAGGUGGGAACACACGCAAAUCAUACAGACGAAACAGUGAGAAUCCACGCCUACACCUGCAGGCAGGAACACGCGUAAAUCACACACAGGAAACAGCGAGAAUCCACACCUGCUGGUGGGAACAUGCAUAAAUCACACACAGGCAACAGUGAGAAUUCACAUUUGCAGGCAGCAACAAGUGUAAAUCACACAUAGGAAACAGCGAGGAAGAGACCAGAGGCACACGGAUCAUAUUGUUCGAUUCUGUCUACAGAAAGUUCAAAAUCAGAAAAAACUGAUCUGCAACAUCAGAAAUCAGGCUGCUCCAGGUGGGAGACAGGGGCACACGGUGACACUCCGGGGAAGGGACCAGCUCCCGGUGGCAUCAGGCUUCCUCGCGCAGGUGCUCGGCUGUGUGCUUUGAGAGCUUCGCAUUGUGCACUCAAGAUUCAUGCUCUUUCCUCUUCAAACACAAAAGUGUAUUUCCCUGAAGUUACCCCUCUUUUUCUAAUCUUUUUAUUUCGUGCCCUAAAAAUGUGUUGUCUUGUCAUCAUCCUCUAGUACCCAGUCAGAGUGAACAGGCACAUCUCCGCAGUUCUCUUUGUGUUUUUCAUGAUAGAGGGCAUUGUGCGCUCAGGAUCUUCACAGAGAUCUUUUGAUGGUGGUGGUGGUAAAAGGAAAACCUUAGACAAAUUAAAUUGAACAGAGUUUAAUUCAGCAAAGAACACUUCAUGAACCAGGCAGCUCAGAACCUUCAGAAAGACUCCAGCAUAGCCACGUGGUCAAGAUGGUUUAUGGACAGAAAAAGGAAAAUGAGGCAUAGAAUGCAGGGGUGAGGUACCGAAACUGCCAGAUUGGUUACAGCUCUGCAUUUCCCUUAUUUGAACACAGUUUGAACAGUGGGCCAUCUUUGAUUGGCCAAAACUUGGUGAUUGGCACAAGAGUAGGUUACAGUCUGUUUACAGAUCCAGUUAGGUUACAGUGCACUAUGUAGAGAGAAACUUUUCAAAUAAGAAAAGAGGCAACUUUAGGCUAACUUAACAGUGGUGAUAGUGAUCAUGAUGAUGUUGGUAGUGGUGAUGAUGAUGGUGAUGGUGAUGAUGGAGAUGGUGGUGAUGGUGGUGUUGGUGUCAGUGAUGGUGAUAGUGAUAGUGAUGAUGAUGGUAAUCAUGGUGGUGGUGAUGAUGGUGAUGAUGUUGGUUAUGAUGAUGAUGGUGAUAGUGAUAUGGUGAUGGUGAUGAUGAUGAUGAUGGUGGUGAUGGUGCUGAUGGUGCUGAUGGUAAUGGUGAUGGUGAUGAUGGGGAUGAGGGUGAUGGUGGUGGUGGUGAUGGUGAUGCUGAUGGUGAUAGUGAUGGUGAUGAUAGUGAUGAUGAUGGUGGUGAUGAUGAUAUUUAUCUCAGUGCAUGUGACAAAAAUGAAUUGAGAAUACUAAUGUGUUUGAAUUAUUAGAUAAAAGAUAUAAUUAAAAUUCAAAAUAGUGUUAUUUUAUGCCAUGCUCCCAGCUCUAGCUGGAUUUCUGAAUUACAAUUUGGAUCAGCAAUGCAAGAAGAAUUAUGGCACUCUUUGGGAAAACCACAGUAUGCCCUUUUCCUACUGCUGGUCACUUUUAUUUGUAAACACUUAGCAACAACUGGAAAGGAUUUUAGACAGUGAAGCACCUCCUGCGACCCCCUUUUCAUGAGUACAUGAGAAUUCUUCCCUAGGGAUGUCACUGUCAAACACAGACAAACACAUACCCACGGCGACAGCCAAGGAACACCUCCCUCAUUUCCAUUUUCCACUUGGUUAUCCAGAGGGUUAGAAAGAAAGGCGAGGACAAGACCAGAGUGACAGCCCAGAAGCCAUGCUCCUGUCAGCACUUCCCAAGCCACAGGCUGCUUUGUGUGUCUGGGCCCAUUUGCAUGGGGAGAUGGGGCUGGGUUUUGUUUGCAGCAGAUACUGGGGGAGCAUAACCAGAGGCAGACAGCAAGGCCACAGCCACAGCAACGGCCCGCCGGAGCCACAGGAGGGGCUGCUGAUUCCGGAACUGCAGAAGGUGCCUGCCACCAGCUUCCUGUGGCCCUGAACCAGCAUCUUCACUCACCGUCGGACGUCCUACCGCUCGGCUUACCUUCCCGGCUCAUGCAGCGAUCCACGGAGGCCGGGCUACCGAUGAAACCUCACCCACCCCAGAGCUCACCUCCUUUACUUUGGGAAAUGGCGGCAGUUCCAUCAGCUUCUGGAGAAACAAAGAGAACUCAGGUGAAGUGUGGAGCCAAGAGCCCAGAGAACCCAGCCACCAGCUCCCUUUCUUCAGACAUCUCGGCUUCCCUGGGACUGAGGCCAGCGUGAGCUGGAGAUGUUCUCAAGGCCGCGUUAAUCCUUCUCAGAGGCAGCAGUGGAGGGGGCAACGUGGGCUCGACCCAGCAACCAGCUCAUCCAGCCCCUCCCGUUUCCUUCCUGCUCUCCUGAAUCUGCCCUUCCUUUAAAGCCGGCACAGGCCAGGCUGGGCUCCAGACGCUGUCCCAGGUGAGCCACGGGGUGUCUGGUGGCGAUGCCAUGGUCUCAGGCUGCCGGGGUCCUCUGUGUGGCCCGCUUUCGCCCAGAUCACUCACGGCACACCCUGCCUGGCAGGAAAGAGGGGCCCUGCUGCCCCACCCCCAUCUCUGACAAAGACGCAGGAAUCCUUGCGGGCAUGCAGACCCAGCACCACUAGGGAAGGCGACACCUCACUGCAGGGACUGCAGGGGACUUGGGCUCAGGGAAGCCCACCGUGGUCUGCCCGGGAGGAAGACUGAGGGAGGCCUCAGCUGCUGUCUGGCCACACCCCUGGGGGCAGAUUGCUUCUGGGCUACACCCGUGGCCACAUGCAGCCUCCUCCCCACUCCCCACACACACCUGUGUGCACACAAGCGGCUCCACCCUCUGUGGCCAGCUCAGGAUACCCCCUGGGGGUGACAGGGUCCCUAGGUGUAGCCCCACGUGGCAGAACAGCCGCAAGGAGCUGAGCACACGAGCCCAGGGGAGUUUGGUGCAGAGGCCGAGGUAGAGACCUUGUGGGGAGAAAUCUUACCAGCCAGAGCGAGGGCCGUGCCAGGCCGGGCCUGCCUAGACUGCAGCCUGCCCCAGCACUCGCCUGAGACCUGGAGCUGAACUCCAGCCACACCCGAAUGUAAAAGGCCAGGGUUAGGGUUAGGGUUAGCCAGCCUGCGGGAAAAUCUCUUCUGCGUUAAUGCUAAGAAAACACAAAACCCAGCUUGCACUGGGAGCCCAGCCAGCCCAGGACAGACCACAUGCCCUGCGGGGGCUGAGCAGCAUCCACCCACCUGGAGGCAAUUGGGGCAGAAGGCCCUAAUUACACACGACACGUGGGACCCUCAGCUGCAGGUUUUCUGACUCCUCCCAGACAGCCAAGACCUGCUCCAGACCCCAUGCCCACCUGGGUAAGCAUGCAGUCCUCACCCUGGGGGGGCAGGGAGGGAACACCCCCACUCCACCACCUGGCAGCCUCACACCUACCCAGCCCAGCCCCGAUGACAGGAUCAGGACACCUGGCUGGGUCCCCAGCCUCUCGGUGUCUGCUUUUUCUUGAAGCCCAACAUUGUCCAGGCCAGGUGCUGACACAGCGGCGGGAACAGAACCCGCCCUGGCACGGACAGCAGGCAGCCCGCAAUGAGGUUAGUGGGAAUCUCACCCUGGGGUCACAGAACUGGGGCAGCCAGCCUUGCCAAAGAGGAGCUGGAGGCUCCUGGUGUAGGGGCCUCCCCUCCUCCCAGCCCGAGAUGAGACCACCAGGAGGGGAGGCAUGGACCGUAUUCCUGGCAACAGGUCCAGGGGACACCCGGUGAGGGGCAGGCCCCCCGCCCCGCCCCAACAGAUGCUCCUGGGCCUUCUGGAGGAGGGUGCAGAACUCAAGGGCAGUGGCCACUGCUUUGCUGCCUUCGUGUGAGGCCGUGAGGUCUACUCGUGAAGCCCACUCAGUUGACGGCCACAUGUCCCACCUGAGGUGCAAGUGUUUCCUUGGUGAGAGCUUGUGGCUGUGACCCCCACAAGGAAGCAUGGUGCCACCGUUCCUGCAUAAGAAACAGCUGAGUGCAUACCAGACCCCGAAUAUGAUUCCACCAAGGCAGCCAGCCCCAUCUCCACGCCAGGCCCUCUCCUGUCCUGCCUGGCCAUGCUCUGACCUCUCAUGCCCAGUCUGGCUCCUGUCCGCUCGUCCAUGGCUGCCUGGAUCCCGGGCCCCUUGUCCCUGAGCUGUGUCCCCUUCUUCCUCAUCGGGAGAGGUCCACUCGCCUGCCUUUGGGGUCUCUACUGCCCGGUGAGGUCUGGGAUGCUGCAUCCUGGCUCCUGAUUUAUGCCACACAGCCACACCGUCACCUCAUCGCACGGUGUUAUGGAGACUCUGCAUUAGCAGUGAAGAUGUAACACGUGCAAGGCCCUGGAACUAGAAAAUGGGGCAGGAGGAAUCCUACAGGGGACACCCGAAAGCCCAGCACCCGCAGUAAACUUCUGCUCCUCACAGCCAGCCUGGGAGGGACGUCGACAAGGACACCGUGCUGUGGGGCAGAGGCACCAGCCUCGCUGCUGGACUGGCCCUGGGGAGGCUGGUCCCACCAUGCAUGGUGAGAAUAAAAAUCCUGUCCUCCAAAUUCAAGAAAGGACACACCUGACGGUUCUUUGGCCUUAGAAGCUGUGAACAAGUAAAACACAAAGGUGACUUAAGCCCCGUCCCAAUGGGUCAGCGACGACACUUCAGAAGCUUCUGAAAGGUGGGACCUUGCCCUUACCAGAGCGCCCUGCAGGGAUCACGCCCCCCUUGCUUCUGAACCUUUGCUGGUUCUGGACUCCACGCUUCCUCAAAGGCUGGGCAAUAUCUGCUUUUCGCUGUGUUCAGAGACCGUGCCUUGGAGAUACAGCUCUCUACUGUGCAAGUAAUAAUUCCCCUUCAUUUCAGAUGCUGGAAUUGAUUUCCUCCUUCCACAAUGGCGGGGGGAGGCCAGCCAGGUCACACUUUCCCAGGAGCCAGGCCAGCUGAUGGACCCAGGAAGCUGGAGUUGGAGGGCAGCGGAGCCCCACAGGCUCUUCUGUGCACUGGGAGCAGGGCCCCUGGCUGAGCCAGCAGGACAGGAUGGGCUCCAACCUUAGGGAACAGGUCUGGCCCAAACAAGCAGGUGGCUAAGAGCCUGGUUACACCAGGGGCACAGGGGACAGCUGCAGCUUGAGUGGGAAGGACACUGGGCCGGGCUGGACUGGGGAGAAGAGCAGAGGAGGUUCUUCGUCUGUUCUGGGAAUGGAGCCCAGUGUACCUCCAGGGUGCAUGCCAGACCCAAGCUGGGGCAGGCAGGUGCACGGAGGCCGAGCUGGCCAGCCUGUUUGCAGGCACAGGGUUCCCCACUCCAGGUCCAAUCCAGGAGCCAGCUACGAGCCCCCUGUUUAUUCCAAACAAUUUAACAUAGAUUGCAACUCCAGGUUAAAAAAAAAAAAGUAUUUUGCAAUUAGUCACAACAGAGCCAUCCUAUAGACAAAAAAAACCCAUAGUUGAAAUGCUAGAUAAAUACUAUUUUCUAAGAGACUCUUUCUUCUCAGCCACACCAAGUGAGAGCAAUUCAGGUGCUGGACCUCAAGCCUCAGAGAGGAUUCUGCUUUUCCUGUAAGUUCAGGGAUCUUCUGUCACCUCCCCACAAUGUCGAUCCACAGAGCUGCAUACAGCAGCUCAGGCCUGGCACACAUCGGGCCGGCCUCCUGUCUUCAAGACUCCAUCAUCACCUCCUCCGGGGACCUGUCCCAAGCAGCCCCAGGUCUGUCCUCCUAGGGCCCACAGCCACUUGAGGUACAGCGUCCGCGCAGCUUCCUCACUGUUCCUGCCAGACAGCCAGCGCCGUCCCGACAUGACCAGUGCCCAGCAUGGCCUGGCACAGCCCAGAGGCACUGUCCAUGCUGCUGGGCACGGAUGUCACCAAUGGCUGGGUGGGCUGCACGGCCCUGAAGGCAAAGUUCCAGGGUUGAGAACAAAUAUUUAAAAAAGGAAACCAUAUCUGGAGCCUACUAAGAUUCAAAAAGCUUCAUUUUACUCCAUCUUCUUUCCAUCUAACUUGGAAAGUACUGAUUUAGGUCUGCAGACACCGGGUAGAAUGUUUCACAAACCCUAUAAGAUUUCAGUGAAGUCUCAUGUGGAACAAUCUAUGCAGGCCUUUUCUAAAUGCCACUGGCGUGAAGGAAGAGCACCUGAUCUAUGCAGGCCUUUUCUAAAUGCCCUUGAGGUGAAGCGUCUGUCACUUGUGAAUGCUCAAUCAUUUCACAUUCUAUUUCUCUCUCCUCCCCUUUCCCACCCCCACCCCUCAAAAAUUAUGAAUUUGCGUUUUUAUUCUAGGCAAAAAAUAAAUAAAUAAAU
rnacentral:lncRNA from 1 species